rnacentral:rRNA from 1 species
UACGUAGGUGGCAAGCGUUGUCCGGAUUUACUGGGCGUAAAGAGCGCGCAGGCGGUCGUUCAAGUCGCGUGUGAAAGCCCCCGGCUCAACUGGGGAGGGUCACGCGAUACUGAUCGACUCGAAGGCAGGAGAGGGAAGUGGAAUUCCCGGUGUAGUGGUGAAAUGCGUAGAUAUCGGGAGGAACACCGGUGGUGUAGACGGCUUCUGGACCGACACUGACGCUGAGACACGAAAGCGUGGGUAGCAAACAGG